rnacentral:rRNA from 1 species
UACGUAGGGGGGCGAGCGUUGUCCGGAUUUAUUGGGCGUAAAGAGCGUGUAGGCGGCCAGGUAGGUCUGCUGUGAAAACUCGAGGCUCAACCUCGAGACGUCGGCGGAAACCAUCUGGCUAGAGUCCGGAAGAGGAGAGUGGAAUUCCCUGGGUGUAGCGGUGGAAUGCGCAGAUAUCAGGAGGAACACCGAUGGCGAAGGCAGGUCUCUGGGCCACUACUGACGCUGAGAAGCGAAAGCAUGGGGAGCGAACAGG